AACGAACGCUGGCGGCAGGCUUAACACAUGCAUGUCGAGCGAGACCUUCGGGUCUAGCGGCGGACGGGUGAGUAACGCGUGGGAACGUGCCCUUCUCUACGGAAUAGCCCCGGGAAACUGGGAGUAAUACCGUAUACGCCCUUGGGGGGAAAGAUUUAUCGGAGAAGGAUCGGCCCGCGUUGGAUUAGGUAGUUGGUGGGGUAAUGGCCCACCAAGCCGACGAUCCAUAGCUGGUUUGAGAGGAUGAUCAGCCACACUGGGACUGAGACACGGCCCAGACUCCUACGGGAGGCAGCAGUGGGGAAUCUUAGACAAUGGGGGCAACCCUGAUCUAGCCAUGCCGCGUGAGUGAUGAAGGCCUUAGGGUUGUAAAGCUCUUUCAGCUGGGAAGAUAAUGACGGUACCAGCAGAAGAAGCCCCGGCUAACUCCGUG
rnacentral:rRNA from 1 species